AAGCCAGUCAAUGAAUUUGUUUGCCUAAUUAGAUUGCUGCAGAAAUUUUUUAACAAGCUGGCAAAAAGUAAAGCCAUGGUAUAAGCCUUAGUGAUACUAGGGUCAUUACAGUCCCUGAAAGUGAAUAUAUGA
ensembl:snoRNA